rnacentral:rRNA from 1 species
AUUGAACGCUGGCGGCAGGCCUAACACAUGCAAGUCGAGCGGAUGAUGGGAGCUUGCUCCUGGAUUCAGCGGCGGACGGGUGAGUAAUGCCUAGGAAUCUGCCUGGUAGUGGGGGACAACGUUUCGAAAGGAACGCUAAUACCGCAUACGUCCUACGGGAGAAAGCAGGGGACCUUCGGGCCUUGCGCUAUCAGAUGAGCCUAGGUCGGAUUAGCUUGUUGGUGAGGUAAUGGCUCACCAAGGCUACGAUCCGUAACUGGUCUGAGAGGAUGAUCAGUCACACUGGAACUGAGACACGGUCCAGACUCCUACGGGAGGCAGCAGUGGGGAAUAUUGGACAAUGGGCGAAAGCCUGAUCCAGCCAUGCCGCGUGUGUGAAGAAGGUCUUCGGAUUGUAAAGCACUUUAAGUUGGGAGGAAGGGUUGUAGAUUAAUACUCUGCAAUUUUGACGUCACCGACAGAAUAAGCACCGGCUAACUCUGUGCCAGCCGCCGCGGUAAAAC